rnacentral:tRNA from 1 species
UAGCUGAAUGGUAUAGCACUCAACUGCCAAUUGGGGGAUCUGGGUCCUAAGUCCCGG